rnacentral:rRNA from 1 species
UACGUAGGGGGCAAGCGUUGUCCGGAUUUAUUGGGCGUAAGAGCUCGUAGGUGGUUUGUCGCGUUGUUCGUGAAAACUCACAGCUUAACUGUGGGCGUGCGGGCGAUACGGGCAGACUUGAGUACUGCAGGGGAGACUGGAAUUCCUGGUGUAGCGGUGGAAUGCGCAGAUAUCAGGAGGAACACCAAUAGCGAAGGCAGCUCGCUGGGACGUUACUGACACUGAGGCGCGAAAGCGUGGGGAGCGAACAGG